CAGCCACAGAAGUCUGCAAUAUUUCUGAAAGUCAAAAAGACAGCGCCACCAACUGGACUGGAACGUGUUGUGUUACAGACAAACCUGUGAAACCUGUUUUGACUUUUUAAAAACCACACCAGUGUCAUGUUUGUGCAGGUGAGCGUGGGCUCUAACCUUUGUUCUGAUGUAAAUCACAGACGGCUCGCGGCGUCUUAUCAGGUGCUCGCUGUGACGUGACGUGAAUCCCUCGUGGACGGUCGAGAGACUGAGAUUCACGUCAGUCAGAGACGGUUUGGGGCAAAGUUUCGAGCGUGUGUGAAGACAAAUAAAUCACCACCUGCUGCCUCAUUCCCCAGAGUUCUACCAUCAUGUCCAUUCAGAUAUGGAGCAGAAACCAGAGGUCUCGACGCUGCUCAGAGCGAAUAAACUACAACUUAACUCCAGAUUCAGCUGCUCAGGAAAACAACCAGAGUGAAGACUGAUUUCAUUUAAAUGAGGACAGAGACAGAUGGACCAGAGGCGUGUGUGUCCUGACCUCCGGAUGAUGUCACUGCCACCAGGACCAGGUUUCCAGGAAGAACCGGUUGAUCUUCACUGUACUGGAGUUUCUCUCAGACCAGAGCCAGAAUUUCACCGACUCGAAACAAGAGAAGAAGACUGGAGACAAACGGAGACAAACAGAGACAACCGGAGACAAACAGAGACAACCAGAGACAACCGGAGACAAACAAAGAAGUGCAAAGCACAACAACAUUAAGAGAAAGGAGUGGUUGAAUGUGAUGUUUGAUUAAUUUCUGUCAGAGAAGAAGCUCAGUGAGUCGACCUAUAAUAGCGUAUAUGUACAUAUAUGUACGUAUAUAUAAAACAAAUGAAAAAAAAGUUUUUUUUUGUCAGUUAAAGGAGAGUCCUCGUCAAAAGACAGACAGAAUGAAUGCUGUGAAUAAAACAUGGAGUCAGGGAGCAGUUGG